rnacentral:tRNA from 1 species
ACAUUUGUGGUUCAGUGGUAGAAUUCUCGCCUUGCAUGUGGGAGGCCUGGGUUCGAUUCCCAGCCAAUGCA